rnacentral:rRNA from 1 species
GCAUAACGUCGCAAGACCAAAGUGGGGGACCUUCGGGCCUCAUGCCAUCAGAUGUGCCCAGAUGGGAUUAGCUAGUAGGUGGGGUAACGGCUCACCUAGGCGACGAUCCCUAGCUGGUCUGAGAGGAUGACCAGCCACACUGGAACUGAGACACGGUCCAGACUCCUACGGGAGGCAGCAGUGGGGAAUAUUGCACAAUGGGCGCAAGCCUGAUGCAGCCAUGCCGCGUGUGUGAAGAAGGCCUUCGGGUUGUAAAGCACUUUCAGCGGGGAGGAAGGCGAUAAGGUUAAUAACCUUGUCGAUUGACGUUACCCGCAGAAGAAGCACCGGCUAACUCCGUGCCAGCAGCCGCGGUAAUACGGAGGGUGCAAGCGUUAAUCGGAAUUACUGGGCGUAAAGCGCACGCAGGCGGUCUGUCAAGUCGGAUGUGAAAUCCCCGGGCUCAACCUGGGAACUGCAUUCGAAACUGGCAGGCUAGAGUCUUGUAGAGGGGGGUAGAAUUCCAGGUGUAGCGGUGAAAUGCGUAGAGAUCUGGAGGAAUACCGGUGGCGAAGGCGGCCCCCUGGACAAAGACUGACGCUCAGGUGCGAAAGCGUGGGGAGCAAACAGGAUUAGAUACCCUGGUAGUCCACGCCGUAAACGAUGUCGAUUUGGAGGUUGUGCCCUUGAGGCGUGGCUUCCGGAGCUAACGCGUUAAAUCGACCGCCUGGGGAGUACGGCCGCAAGGUUAAAACUCAAAUGAAUUGACGGGGGCCCGCACAAGCGGUGGAGCAUGUGGUUUAAUUCGAUGCAACGCGAAGAACCUUACCUGGUCUUGACAUCCACAGAACUUAGCAGAGAUGCUUUGGUGCCUUCGGGAACUGUGAGACAGGUGCUGCAUGGCUGUCGUCAGCUCGUGUUGUGAAAUGUUGGGUUAAGUCCCGCAACGAGCGCAACCCUUAUCCUUUGUUGCCAGCGGUUAGGCCGGGAACUCAAAGGAGACUGCCAGUGAUAAACUGGAGGAAGGUGGGGAUGACGUCAAGUCAUCAUGGCCCUUACGACCAGGGCUACACACGUGCUACAAUGGCAUAUACAAAGAGAAGCGACCUCGCGAGAGCAAGCGGACCUCAUAAAGUAUGUCGUAGUCCGGAUUGGAGUCUGCAACUCGACUCCAUGAAGUCGGAAUCGCUAGUAAUCGUAGAUCAGAAUGCUACGGUGAAUACGUUCCCGGGCCUUGUACACACCGCCCGUCACACCAUGGGAGUGGGUUGCAAAAGAAGUAGGUAGCUUAACCUUCGGGAGGGCGCUUACCACUUUGUGAUUCAUGACUGGGGUGAAGUCGUAACAAGGUAACCGUAGGGGAACCUGCGGUUGGAUCACCUCCUUA